CCUGGAGCAGAAGACCCAGCAUUGAACAGUCAUUCAACAUCCAGGAACACUAACUGAGCACAAGAAAAGCACUGUCCGUGCCCUGGUGAUCCAGCAAAAUCCCCACCCUCGGGACACGUAAAUCGCAAGGAGGGUCGUAGACAACCGACCAGGCCUCAGCUGGGGAGCCUCGCGAUCGCAAACACCUGCCGGUCUGUCCCUAGAGUGCGUCACAUGCCAAGCAGUACGGCUGGGGUCUUAGGAAACUGGGUCCAUUUCAGGCUCCAAAUAGAAUCUCUUCCUUCAUUUUAACGUAGAACGUCCAGAGCUGCUGGCCACGAGACAGGGUGUAGCACGGGCCACGUCCUUCCAGGAUAGUCAACGAGACAACCCAAGUGCGGGGCACACAAGAGCGGCUCCAGAAACGUGAGCGGCUUCCCCAGCAACACCAGCUGUGUACGGACUGUCCCAGCGCGGCCUCGCUAUGCAGUCCCCGUCCUCCAAACAGCCAUGUCUCUGAGGACGCAGCGUGCGGCGGGGAGAGCGGACAGACAGAGCUAAAUAACCUAGGACAGGGACACCACGUCUUGAAAACCCUGAGGCGUCAGGCUUCCAUGUGAAAAAUUAACUGAGUGACUGGAAGACCAUCUCUGGAGGGGCCUUCCCUCCAACUGUGGGACGGGAACUAUGCGGUCAGGUUCCUCCACACUCCCACAGCAGCGGUGGCCGGUGAGGCUUCCAGAGACAGGGACGGGAGCAGGCUAACCUGUCCCAAGCCAGGCAAGUGCCCCGGGCGCUCAGCAAGCUUCCUGCAGUGUUCUUAAAGACGGAGACAAAAGAGCUUCUACAUAUAAACAAAUAAUCAGAAAGAUGUGAAAACACAUUCCAGAAGAAGGCAAAGGCGUACGCAUCCUAAAGAGAGGUGCCUUACCUGGACUGAUGACCACCCAGCCGCCUCGCUCCUGCUGGUGCAUCCAGGCUCUCCAGCCUCGGGCGCCCUUCUCCCCAGCCCGGGGCUCCCCGCUGUCCCAGAAGGGCUCAAAGAAUUCCACCUGUUCAGGUUCAAAAUACAGAGGCAGGUCUUUCACGCUGUCUGGCUUGAAGAAGGUGAAGUCCACCAUGGCCUGGAAGAGCGAGAUCGCCUUCUCAGAGUGACCGGCCUGCCGCAGGAAGUGACAGUGCUGAAGAAAGAGAGCUGAAAGCAGGGAGAGC